rfam:Spirochaetaceae bacterium 4572_59 ex4572_59_scaffold_1172, whole genome shotgun sequence.
GGAGAGGUGUCCGAGUGGCCGAAGGAUCUGGUCUUGAAAACCAGCGUAGGGAGACCUACCGUGGGUUCGAAUCCCACCUUCUCCG